rnacentral:rRNA from 1 species
GACGAACGCUGGCGGCGUGCCUAAUACAUGCAAGUAGAACGCCGAAGGAGGAGCUUGCUUCUCUGGAUGAGUUGCGAACGGGUGAGUAACGCGUAGGUAACCUGCCUGGUAGCGGGGGAUAACUAUUGGAAACGAUAGCUAAUACCGCAUAAUAGCAGUUGUUGCAUGACAACUGUUUGAAAGGUGCAAUUGCACCACUACCAGAUGGACCUGCGUUGUAUUAGCUAGUUGGUGGGGUAACGGCUCACCAAGGCGACGAUACAUAGCCGACCUGGGAGGGUGAUCGGCCACACUGGGACUGAGACACGGCCCAGACUCCUACGGGAGGCAGCAGUAGGGAAUCUUCGGCAAUGGACGGAAGUCUGACCGAGCAACGCCGCGUGAGUGAAGAAGGGUUUCGGAUCGUAAAGCUCUGUUGUAAGAGAAGAACGAGUGUGAGAGUGGAAAGUUCACACUGUGACGGUAUCUUACCAGAAAGGGACGGCUAACUACGUG